AUGGGGCAUGAUAAGGAUACUUGUGAGAAUAAGAGGCUAGGUGUUCUGUCCAAGCACUAUGAUGAUGGGCUCCGUUGCCCUCCAUUUAAGAAAUUUGAACACAAGCUGACACACUUCCCUUCACCAGCGAAUCCGACGAUGCGGAGAGGGCUGGAUUUUUCGUCGUUUGGAAGGGCAGAUUCUGCAAGCUCGGGUCGUCAGAGCAGGGAGGCAUUAGCUAAGAUGGACAAUAGGACACAAUAUCCUCAGUAUGGUAUGCCGAUUGGUACACAUGAUGGGUUUGAGGAGGUAGGGUCUGUUGGGAAUGUAGAGGUUGAUGGUGAGUUAUCUGCUCAAAUAAAUGCUCUGAAUGUGCACCAUUCAAAAGAACAGACGGUGUGUAACAACGUUGGUGAAAUAAAUAAGCAGAUUGAGACAAAGGAGAGGCAAGGACAAAUAUUUGGGAAGGGGAAGAAGAGUGGGGGGAAGCAAGCUGUCAUCAAGCGCACGACGCCCUCCUCUCGGCAAAGCAAACCUUUUUACACAGUUGAAAUGAUUCCAGCACUGAGAAACCUCAGUAAUUUGGGGGUGUUGUAUGGUGAUUCAGACACCGUCAUGACUGCUGCAGAUUCAGUACUUGGGAAGCGCGCAACAGCAGAGAAGGAUGGUCAGGAGGUGGUGCCAGCAGAAGAGAAGGCACUGGUGCCGUAUGUUGCAGGGCAAGCCGGUGGUAACCAGAAGCGUGGCAAGGUGAUUGUGCAGGGGGCUGAUACAAAACAGAAGGUGGAGGGAGAUGUGAAAUUUCUGGAAGCAACCGGUCUUGGGGCUGCCGGUAAUCUGACGGUUCCAAUUGUGGUGCCCCGUCAGGAGCCAUGA
rnacentral:rRNA from 1 species